UGCAGUCGAACGAUGAAGCUGAGCUUGCUUGGUGGAUUAGUGGCGAACGGGUGAGUAACACGUGAGUAACCUGCCCCAGACUCUGGGAUAAGCACUGGAAACGGUGUCUAAUACCGGAUAUGAACCUCCACCGCAUGGUGAGGGGUUGGAAAGAAUUUCGGUCUGGGAUGGACUCGCGGCCUAUCAGCUAGUUGGUGAGGUAAUGGCCCACCAAGGCGACGACGGGUAGCCGGCCUGAGAGGGUGACCGGCCACACUGGGACUGAGACACGGCCCAGACUCCUACGGGAGGCAGCAGUGGGGAAUAUUGCACAAUGGGCGCAAGCCUGAUGCAGCAACGCCGCGUGAGGGACGACGGCCUUCGGGUUGUAAACCUCUUUUAGUAGGGAAGAAGCGAAAGUGACGGUACCUGCAGAAAAAGCACCGGCUAACUACGUGCCAGCAGCCGCGGUAAUACGUAGGGUGCAAGCGUUAUCCGGAAUUAUUGGGCGUAAAGAGCUCGUAGGCGGUCUGUCGCGUCUGCUGUGAAAUCUGGGGGCUCAACCCCCAGCCUGCAGUGGGUACGGGCAGACUAGAGUGCGGUAGGGGAGAUUGGAAUUCCUGGUGUAGCGGUGAAAUGCGUAGAGAUCGGAAGGAACAUCAGUGGCGAAGGCGGCCAUCUGGGACAACACUGACGCUGAAGCACGAAAGCGUGGGGAGCA
rnacentral:rRNA from 1 species